rnacentral:rRNA from 1 species
UACGUAGGGGGCAAGCGUUAUCCGGAUUUACUGGGUGUAAAGGGCGUGCAGCCGGGCUGACAAGUCAGAUGUGAAAUCCCGCGGCUCAACCGCGGAACUGCAUUUGAAACUGUCAGUCUUGAGUACCGGAGAGGUCAUCGGAAUUCCUUGUGUAGCGGUGAAAUGCGUAGAUAUAAGGAAGAACACCGAUUGCGAAGGCAUCUCACGAAUCCGCUAUUGACGCUGAUGCACGAAAGCGUGGGUAUCGAACAGG